AUAUUGAUUAGUAACCUUGUUGAACAGUGUCCAUUUUCUUUUUCACGACCUCUAAAGCAUGCUAUGACCAUCCUAUGUUUAAUACAAAAUUGUGCUCCUUAAUAUUUGCUAGGUAUGUUAUUGACAUAGAGGUAAUAUAUACAUGAGUAGAGUAGCGGCCAUCCAUUUACAUCAUACUACAAGCAAGUCUGACAAAUUUCUCCAUGUUAAUCAUAUAACGGUGGGAGGAAUGAGCCAAAGAUGAAGUUUCCUUAAAUAGGAGUUUCUUUCUAUAGGGUCUGACAUAUGUUGGGGCUUCUGCAAGACUUCUAUAUUGUUGUAUGUGCCGUUGUGUGAUUAGUUAAAUUUUGUUCAAGAAUACGAUUAGUUGGUGUCUCAAUGUGCACCGGAUGACAUCCUAAAAAUGAGAAGCUUAUUUGAACGGGCUUUUACUGCUGCUGGAGUGCAUGUGGUUGAAGUCGGCAAGAUAUGGGAAGCAUACAAAGAGUAUGAACAAGUGAUCUUUUUGACAAUUGGUGAUGACAAUAAUGAGGAAAAAUCAAAACAGAUUGAUCGGAUACGUACUUUAUUCCAUCAACAACUAUCUAUUCCCUUAAUGAAUUUAGAAUCAAAUUAGUUAAUUACAGGCUUUGGGAGGUGGAACAAGGGAACACUGGCGAUAUGAACUCAGGAAUUGGAUGGGGUCCCUGCUAAUGUUGUCUUUGCAUAUAAUAAUGCUUUGGAAAUGUAUAAUGCUCGAAGCAUGU